GAUGAACGCUGGCGGCGUGCCUAAUACAUGCAAGUCGAGCGAACGGACGAGAAGCUUGCUCCUCUGAUGUUAGCGGCGGACGGGUGAGUAACACGGGGAUAACCUAACUCUCAGACUGGGAUAAUUUCGGGAAACCGGAGCUAAUACCCGAUAAUAUAUUGCACCGCAUUGUGCAAAAGUGAAAGACGGUCUUGCGUUCACUUAUAGACUGAUCCGCGCUGCAUUAGAUAGUGGGUGAGGUAAAGGCUUACCAAGGCAACGAUGCAUAACCGACCUGAGCGCGUCGUCCCAUACCUUGUAUGAGAGAAUGAGCCGACACUCCUACAGGAAGCCGCAGCAGGGAAUCUUCCGCAAUGGGGGAAAGCCUGACAGAGCAACGCGGCGGGAGUGAUGAAGGACUUCGGAUCGUAGAGCGCUGUUAUUAGGAGAGAUCAAAUGUGCUAGUACCUGUGAACAUCUUGACAGUACCUAGACAGAAAGCCCCGGCUAACUACGUG
rnacentral:rRNA from 1 species